rnacentral:rRNA from 1 species
UACAGAGGGUGCAAGCGUUGUUCGGAAUUAUUGGGCGUAAAGGGCGCGUAGGCGGUUCGGCAAGUCUCUAGUGAAAUCUCAGGGCUCAACUCUGAGUCUGCUGGGGAAACUGCCGGGCUUUGAGUGUGGGGAGAGGAGAGUGGAAUUCCCGGUGUAGCGGUAAAAUGCGUAGAUAUCGGGAGGAACACCUGUGGCGAAAGCGGCUCUCUGGACCACAACUGACGCUG